UGGCUCCAGCAUCGAUGAAGAACGCAGCGAAAUGCGAUAACUAGUGUGAAUUGCAGAAUUCAGUGAAUCAUCGAGUCUUUGAACGCACAUUGCGGCCGCCGGCACUCCGGCGGCCAUGCCUGUCCGAGCGCCACUAACACCCUCAGGAGCUGCUCCUGGCGCUGGGUGACCGCCUGCUCAGCAGCGGCCGCCUUAAAGUUAGUGGCGGCGACGCCUGCAGCGCGACGUACUUAGUAACUCUGCUAGCACGAAGCCCUGGCGCUCGCCUGCCGCGAGAACCCCCCUUAUGCCAAAGUGGUUGGCCUCGGAUCAGGUAGGAUUACCCGCUGA
rnacentral:misc_RNA from 1 species